rnacentral:tRNA from 1 species
CGAGCAGCCGGUGCGGUUCAGCCGCACCGGCGGUUCGGGCCCGGCGGCGCUGCUGCACGCGUGGCUCGGCGUGCCGGUCGUCUACCUCGGC